CCCGUGUGGAACGAGGUGUGGUGCCAGCUCACUGGGGGGGACGCACGUCUCUUCGAAUGUCACCGCGCCCAGUGAGACACUGGGGAGGGCCGGCCCUGCCUUUCCCUGGGGCAGAUCAUGGUUAUAAGGAUUAACCAAAGUCAGUUCCCCCUCCUCCUGCUCACGGUGUCUCGGGGAACCACCAUCGUGUCUCGGGGAACCACCAGCCCCUCCCUCCUGGGCCCGUCGCCCCACAUGGCCUCCCAGAUGCUCUGCGCUCCAGCACAGGGGCUCUCGUCAGUCUGCUGUCACCCGCUCUCCGCCCCCCAGUUCUGCUGCGUUCCCGGCAGUGACCGUGGGUUUGUCCAGCGGGAGGCCGACCCAGAGGUGGGCAGGAGGGCAAAGCCUGUCUUGCUUAGCAGCACGCAGUGGCUCGGUGUGGGCCUCGGUCUGGCCCUCACCGCAGCCGUCGGGAGGGGCCUGGCGUUGCCCGUGCUGCUGCGGGGCACGUGGGGCACCGGGAAGGUGCAUGAUGCACCCGGGUUCAUGGCGGGGAGCCCAGGCAGGAGCCCAGACAGCCUGCUCCCUGCUGUGCUCUACGGGCUGACCCCAGAGGUGGUUUCUGUGGUUACACGGCACAGCGGGGGCCGGGGGGAGGGCGGGGCGGUGUUCACCUGAGGCUGGCAGAGCGGCAGCGGCUUAUUUCUCUGCGUCAGCUUGGCCCUGGGCGACAGGACCCUUCAUGUCGUCAUUUCCCAACACGUGUCCUCUGGAAAAGGACCUGAGGUUUCAUUGCCACUAAAUGCAUUUAGACAAUAGAUUGUGUUCACUUACUGGAGUUUCUUAGGUCUACGUUGAUCUAUUAGAGAUGCCUUAAGAAAACAGUAAAGACACCCAUUCCACGUUGUUCAGCCCGGCGUCCCCCGGCCUGCGGGGCGUGGCACCUCCCCCGCUGCGCCCCGCCUGCUGGCGUCCCACGGGGACACUGCCCUGUGUGCGCUUUGGGGAGGACAGACGGGUACGGAGCUGCGUCAGAAGCUGUGUUUCAGUGAAAACCGGCCUGGCUUUACUGAAGGAAGACACGAGUGUCCAGCCCGCUCUGGCCCGCCGCGCCCUGGGUGGCUGUGGGGGGGGGGGGCCAGCCGUGUCCGUUGAAAUGGGCCCCCGGGCUCCGGCCGGCCGGCGUGUGUCGGGAGGGCCCCGCGGUGACAUUUCAGCUCCCGGGGCAGAGUCGGUGUCCGGUGUCCCCCUCUGUCGACACCGACCCCAGAUUUGGUCGACGCCAGCUUCCCAGCUUGUUUCCAUACAAUGACCCGGCCGGACCUAAAGGUGGAAUGUGAUGUCACCCGCUAUCUAUAGUCGUUCCCUAAUCAACACCUGGCCCGGGAGUACCUGGCUGGUCUGCUCUAAAUUGGGACCGUAUCUCAUUGUCAUCCCUCGGCUGCGGGGCAGCAGGCCAGGGCCCAGGGCGGCCAGGACUGGGGAUCAUCCGAGGCCCGCGGCAGCGGGGGCGGCCGUCAGAGGCCGUAUAUAGCCCGGUGUGGAGGGCGCUGUGGGGGAAGGGGGGCAGUGUUUAGAGGCGGCGGGCCCACGGGGGCCUGUGUCUGGGAGCACAGCCCCGCGGUCCGACUGGCUCCCGGGAGCGUGACGCGGCCUGGCUGGGCGCCUCCACCUGCACGGCCCCGGGCGGCGGGGCUGGCCCCGCACUGCUGGUGGGGCACUCUGGUCGGUGUUUCUCCCACGUUUGCCUUCCAUGGGCCAGAACCAGUCCAGGCCCUCACACGCGGGUCCCCGUACCGGGCCCAGAAGGGCUGAACCGGCCUGUGUGACACACGCCCUGUGUGACAAACGCCCUGCGUGAGCUACACGAGGAGGGCGGUUUGGGGGACCCCGCUCUAGCUGUCCGGGGGACUUACGCAGCAGUGAGGGGCUCAGUCCAUUCCUCCGGGUGCUUCUGUUUCCCGGCACUCUGGUUCGGGGCCCAGCCUGGGCUCGUAAGAGUCUCGUGUUGUCUCGGAAGGGACACCCAGGGUCUCAUGCCCCUCACCCCGUGCUCUUCAGGGCUCUGCGGUCCCAGGCCCUCGGGCCAAGGGCAGGUCCUAGCCGGAUGCUGGGCCCGGCGGGAACAAGCGUGUGUGCGUUUCCUUCCUUUCUUGGCUCGGUCCUCCCCUUCCUGGGACAAGAGUCAAUUUUGAAGAGGCGGUUUGGGGGCUGUUGGGACUGGUUCGGGGUCUUUCAUGUUAAACCUCUUGUCUGCUCUAACCGGUCACGGACGUUCACCGAGCACACACUGGGUGCAGAAUAAGGAAUGAAAGGUGAAUCGAGCAUGUCCCUGCCUUCUUGGCGUCGCGUCACCCGUUCAGAUCCGGGACGACAGACAGUGCUGGAGGUGGUCGGCGGUGGCGGUGGCGCAGCACCGUGGACGCGCUCAGUCCCAUGAAGCUACGCCUAGAGAUGAGGACGAUGAUCCCUGCGCCUCGGCCCGGCCGGAACCGGUGCCCGUCUCCCCUCCCCUCUGAGCUGCUGCUGCUCCUCUCGCUCUGGGAGCCGCACGUCCUCAACCAGCUUCGACGUCUGCUCAGUGUCUCCAGUUGGGAGCCUCAGUGCCGAGGGUGACUUCACCGCCUUUGAACUCCUCCUCGGUCUUGACGCGUGCGCCUCGGACUCAGCGUGGGAUCCCUCCCCCCCUCCCCACCUCCG